GCAGGCAGAUGGCAGAGGCCAGCGACCGGGAGUGGGAAGCGGACGUUUCGCUUGUUGGGUGGGUGCAGUUCGUCUCCAUUCUCACCUAGCAGACAGGCUAGCUCCAGCCACCAUCAGCGCAGGAGCCCGAGCGAUCCAUGCUGGGGAGAAACAAACCUCAGUUUCGUUUCGUUUCCCCGUGGCCUGUCUGCAGAGUGCUUUGGAGUUGGUGCGGCACAAACCCCGUUCAGUCAAUAAAACACGCUGACGCAUUGCCAAACUGCCUAGUGCCUACUAGUACUCUACCUCUACCUCCGGUGUGUCAGUGCGCGUGGUAGUGCGUGCCCAUUAAGCGGCAGGCGCGUAGCUAGGCUGGUCCAGGGAAAUGGGAAUAUUCGUUUCGUUCCCACCAUAAUGCUCGCGAUAAGAAUUCUUACCCUAUUUUUUUA